rnacentral:lncRNA from 1 species
CAGACAUUGUGACAGGAAAUGCAGGUGGAACUAAGCUAACAGCAGGCACAGCUGGAGCUACUGGAAUCUGUAGCAUAGUGACCGGUUGUGUGUAAGCUUCCGUCUGCGUUGUAAUCACUGUGCUCUUAUCAACUGCAGUACUCUGCGUAGUUUGAAUAUUUUCUUUAGCAGGUUCUGAGCUCCUCGCUGUUUCCCAUUCUGUAUUUACUGUCUCCUGGUCAAUCAUGCCACCCUCAGCAAAGCCCUCCAAAUCAUCCAAUUUUACCUUCUCCCAAGGAAUAUAUGAAACUCCCAGA